GUCGCCGUCAGUUUGUCCAUCUCAGGAACCCCUUUUUUAAUUUUUCUACCUACAUAAAUAAUAUUUUUUUAAAUAAAAAAAGCGUUUUUUUUCCUCUCGGCUUUCUGGUUCAAUUCUUUCACUCGUCUUCCACUUGGGGCCGAGACAGAUACAGUAGGGAUUCCUUUGAAGGAAGAAUCCAAUAAUCAAAUCCAAUCUCCAUUUUUGAUCCGAAACAAAUCAAAAUCAGCGGAUCCAUGAA
rnacentral:misc_RNA from 1 species